rnacentral:lncRNA from 1 species
AAGCAGCAUUAUUGAAUAUCUCCAGAAAUAGGGCUAGCUUGAGGUAUUGAAAUGCCAAGAGCUAUUAUAAGAGAAAUCAAUCUGUUGGGCGGUAUUUCCUGAAAGCGCCUGACUACUCUCUCACAUCUUGUUACCAGACCCAACUCAGCAUUAGGAACCAAGAAGGAAUGCCAAGAAUGAGUAUUUUUACUCAAAACCCCUUAACUAUAGCAGCGCUUGGAACCUUAUCCUCCCCAAAAGAAAUGUCUCUGUCCUUUGUCAUAGAGGAGAGUGCUUCUCUUUCACUAUGAGCAGGGAGCAUGGCAAGAUGGGGUUUAGAGUGUGCUUUGAGUGUUCUUUUAUUCCGCACUUUUUGAUUCUCUUUGUAAUAACAUUAGAAUCAAACCACAUGAGUUAAUAAAUGGUAAUCCCACAGACCUUAAUGGAAGAUGAAGGUUCAGUGAGUCUAUUUUUCCUGUAAUGCAGCAAAGAGAGUUCAGGUAAGUUCAUGUGAUUGGAUGUUCCAGUAUUUCUUUCAGGUCCCUUCAUGCUUCUGGCUGUGUAUUCAGGUUUUUCAAUCAAGAACAGCCUUUGAGAGAGCUCGGGCAGGAACAACUAAGUCUUCAGGUUUCAGUCCUGGGCUAGCUUCUGCAGUCAGAACCAUACACCACCAGAUUGGUCUUCCAGAGCACAACUCUGCUAGUUGGCACAGAAAUGUGAAGAAAAUGUGA